UCGGGAAUAUUGCGCAAUGGAGGAAACUCUGACGCAGUGACGCCGCGUGCAGGUAAGAAGGUUUUCGGAUUGUAAACUGCUUUAGACAGGGAAGAAAAAAUGACAGUACCUGUAGAAUAAGCUCCGGCUAACUACGUGCCAGCAGCCGCGGUAAUACGUAGGGAGCAAGCGUUAUCCGGAUUUAUUGGGUGUAAAGGGUGCGUAGACGGGAAGACAAGUUAGUUGUGAAAUCCCUCGGCUUAACUGAGGAACUGCAACUAAACUAUCAUUCUUGAGUGCUGGAGAGGAAAGUGGAAUUCCUAGUGUAGCGGUGAAAUGCGUAGAUAUUAGGAGGAACACCAGUGGCGAAGGCGACUUUCUGGACAGUAACUGACGUUGAGGCACGAAAGUGUGGGGAGCAAACAGGAUUAGAUACCC
rnacentral:rRNA from 1 species